rnacentral:SRP_RNA from 1 species
GCCGGGUGUGGUGGCGCACGCCUGUAAUCCCAGCUACUCAGGAGGCUGAGGCAAGAGAAUCGCUUGAACCCGGGAGGCAGAGCUUGCAGUGAGCCAAGAUCGCGCCACUGCACUCCAGUCUGGGUGACAGAGCGAGACUCUGUCUCAA